GUCUACGGCCAUACCACGUUGAAAGCACCAGUUCGAUCACUGAAGUUGAGCAACGUUGGGCUCUGUUAGUACUCGGAUGGAUGAUCGCCUGGGAACAGCGAGGAUUGUAGAGA
rnacentral:rRNA from 1 species